AAAGAAAUGGGUCCUAGACCCCACACACGCCACUCGGUAAAGAAUCGGGCCUAUAGCUCAGCUGGCUAGAGCACACGACUGAUAAUCGUGAGGUCAGUGGUUCGAGUCCACUUGGGCCCACCAAAUGGGGCUGUAGCUCAGCUGGGAGAGCACCUGCUUUGCAAGCAGGGGGUCACCGGUUCGAUCCCGGUCAGCUCCACCAAAGGGAAGAGGCCCGCGCGCAGCGGGUCGGACGCUGGGGUGGAGAAGUAGGCGGCAGGAAGCGGGUAACAGGUAACAGGAAGAAGAGAGUAGGAAAGUAAUUAAAGAGUCCGUAGUAGUGAGUUUCUGAAUAAAGAAGCUGAGUACUACCGAUUCGCAGUAUGGAAGCGGUAUUGUUCUUUGACAGUUGAGGAAGGGAAGGCCAUGUUUGUCAUCUUGCCGAUGGCAGACCUCCAGGUGGAUGCUUGGGGAUAUAU
rnacentral:misc_RNA from 2 species